rnacentral:lncRNA from 1 species
GUUUUUCUCUAAAAGAAUUGAAGUUAUGUGUUGGUGAGAAUUAUUGUUUUUUCUUUAAUUUAAUUUGUUUGUAAUUUAAUUUUCUUGGUAAUUUAAGUAUUUAUGAUUCAUUUGCAAUUGUUUUAAUGUAGGUUUGAUGUCUGACGGAUUCCAUUACAUUUUCAUUGUUUGCAAUGGCUGCUUUCAGGAGGAAGCUAGAUAGAGUUUAUACAUAUGGUUAAGAUAAGAAUUUAUACUUAUAGUAGAAGAUAAUGAGAAAAUUGUGGGAUUACUAGUUUUUAACUCUCUAGGGUAAAAUGAAUUUUGAGAUUAUUCUCCGAGAUGUUGUUAGCGUUUUAUUGUACUAUAAUGAUCAUCAAAAUCUAAUUUUCAGAAGAUUUAGCAACAAAUUUAUAUACAACAUUUACACUAUAAUAUCUAAACUCAUUUAAUUUUAUUUUGAAUCCUCGAGAUUCUUGUUUUUCAUGUGAUAACGAUUCUUCUAACUGCAAUAUCAAAAACCCCCCCUCAAGAAUUAAACACAAAACCCUAAAAAUAUAUUUUUUUGUAAUUUACCACUAAUAGCUUUUCUAUUUAUUGUAUUGCGUUAAAAAAUAAACCCAUAAAACAUCGGAGUAAAUUCACUUUUAGUGUUUACAAACCAUUUCGCUUUGUGCAUUUGUUAAACUCAAGAACAAUAUCUCUUUUAAAUCUCAUCAUUCAUUUUUUGGUAGUAGAUUUUUUCACGCAUAGCUAAAAAGAUUUCUUGUAUAAUUACAAGACAUGAUGUUGUUAAGAGAGAGAAAUCGCGAAGUUUGAAACAAAUGAGAAAGAAAGAUUGAACAUAUGAAAAAACAAACGAUGAUUUACAGUACUUAUUUUUUCUUUUAUAAUACAUUUAUGGAGAGAAUCCUAUGAUACAUGUUCUACCAUAGAUUUACGUACAAAUCUAUGGUAGAACGUGGUUUAUAGGAUUUUCUCCCUAAGGAUAAAAAAUGAAAAAAAAAAAAUACUUCUCAUAUUCUUUUUUUGUUUCCAUCUUUCGUUCGUGUUCUUCUUCUUCCUUUGUUUCAAACUUCGUGUUUUCUCUCUCACUUAACAACAACAUCAUGUCUGGUGGUGUAAUUAUACAAGAAAUCAGUGUAGUUAUACGUGAAAAAUUUACAAAGAUAUUACCAAAAAUAAAAUGCUAAGAUUUAAAAGAAAUCUUGUUGUUGAGCAAAAGAAAUGCAUAAAAAGAAAAAAGUUUGCACACACUGAAGAGUGAUACUACUUCAAUGUUUCAUGGGGUUUACAAUUGAACGCAAUACAUUGGUUAAGAAAAUCAUUGUGGUAAGUAACAAGAAAUUAUAUUUUUACUAAUGGUUUAAAUUUUUAGAGGUUUUUGCUGAUUGUAAUUAGAAGAAUUGUUUUCACAUGAAAAAGAAGAAUCUCGGGGAUUGAAAAUGAAAUUAGGUGAGUUUAGAUAAUAGAAUGUUUACUGCUGUAAGUGAAUUUGUUGCUAAUUGACUGCAAUUUACUUACUGCUGUAAGUGAAUUUGUUGCUGAUUUAAUCUCCGUCAUGUCUACAUUCUAGAUUCUCAUUAUGUUGUUUCUCUUUCGCCCCGGUUCCAUCACCUAGUAACCUAGUUAAGUAGUUCACAGCCUGUAGCUUGUUUUUCCCCACAUCUAGAUGUUUUUGUAAUAAAUUUUGCAAUGUUGGGAUUCAUAAUGUAUCGAUGAUCAUCUAAAGCAUUCGGAUUUUGAUUUUAAGUUUCAAAAUCAAAAUGUUUUUGUCCCUAUCUUACGCUAAUAACUAAUCAAAUUUCAACUACUUUAAUCAUUAUUCAUAAGUGGACCAGAUCACUGAUUACCAUUUCAAGGAAAGUAUAAUAAAAUCAGAUUGUUCAUAUUCCUUUUAGUGUUGAAAUUCUUAAUGAUUAGUAUAUCAAAAUACAGUAUAUAAAAGUCAUUUUGAUUUUGAAAUCCGAGUGGUGCACUCAUCUGGUGGGAGGUUAGCAUACACACUCUUUUAAGUGUGCAACAAAGCCGCACUCGGAUUGACUAAAAGCCUGUCUUUGCUUUUUCUUUACUGCCAAGCUUAAUGCGUGAGUUUCAUAUUCUGAUUAUGUUAACCAAAGUCAACAAUCAACACCAAUAAAAAGUUGAUUACAUCCAUGGGACACGAUGAAAUUUGACCUACUUUGCAUAUGUGUGCAACAGGUACAUUGUUCCCAUUUCCGAAUGGUCGUCAGAGUGGAAGGAGGCAUGCCUACUAUGGCAUGGCUUUCUUCCAACCACUUUACUAUGCAAUUUUCAUGAAGAAUGACCAUAAUAUCCUUGUCCGUCAAGAAGUCAUCCCUGCAAACCAUGCAAGCCUCUAGCUGUUCUUUUCUCGAUGAACCCAUAAGAGCAUCUCCAAUGGUAUGCUUAAACUAGCAGUGCCACAUACAUUUGGAAAUGAUAUGCCAAGGAAGGUGGAAGGAAAGGAAUAAAUGAUUUGAUUUUAAUAUAUCACUAGCAUGCAGGUGGGCUCAUGCUAUCCACGGGCGAUGAUUUGUUAGCUGGAUGUGCUACUUUAUGUCGUAUUGAAUGAAUCGAGCAUAAACAAAAUGGGUAUUUGUAAAAAAGAAAUAAUAAUUAUCCACUUUCCCUAUUAAAUAUAUUAUUGUUUUGUCGACAUUUUUCAACUACAUAAGGACUUGGUCUAUUCUUCUUUCUGCUUUGAAGACUUACCAGUUUGAAAAUGAUAUGCUAAGGAAGGUGGAAGGAAAGAAGAAGAUGAUCUGAUUUAAUAUAUCAUAUGCUUUGAAGUCAAUUCAAAGUUCAAACCAACUCUCUAUUUUUUUUUUCUUCAUGCUACCUUUUCUCUUCUUGUACUCUAUUUCUUUUGUACAUUAAACUCCAUUGCCAGAAAAAAGAUAGAGAGAGGAAGUAAUGCUUGCCUGGUGGAAU